CUUUUUUCAUCAGCAGGUAUUACCACUUUACCAUUACAUGUGUGGAUAUUUUCACCAGCCUAUUGCUUGGUACACCCAUCAGGAAUACCUAUGAGAUCCAGAGAGUGGAAUAAUUGCAGCUGGCCCCACUGAAGGAAUGGUGUGGAUCUCUAAAAGGAAGAAGAGACACUCAGAUGUCAGCUACUUGAGAACAGGGACAACACCUCUCUGGUUUACAGCUCCUGGUCCAGAGCCUGCAACAUGUAAGUAAUUAUCUGUGACAUGACAGAGUGUGUACAAAUAGAA